GACGAACGCUGGCGGCGUGCUUAACACAUGCAAGUCGAACGGAAAGGCCCUGCUUUUGUGGGGUGCUCGAGUGGCGAACGGGUGAGUAACACGUGAGUAACCUGCCCUUGACUUUGGGAUAACUUCAGGAAACUGGGGCUAAUACCGGAUAGGAGCUCUUGCUGCAUGGUGGGGGUUGGAAAGUUUCGGCGGUUGGGGAUGGACUCGCGGCUUAUCAGCUUGUUGGUGGGGUAGUGGCUUACCAAGGCUUUGACGGGUAGCCGGCCUGAGAGGGUGACCGGCCACAUUGGGACUGAGAUACGGCCCAGACUCCUACGGGAGGCAGCAGUGGGGAAUAUUGCACAAUGGGCGGAAGCCUGAUGCAGCAACGCCGCGUGCGGGAUGACGGCCUUCGGGUUGUAAACCGCUUUCGCCUGUGACGAAGCGUGAGUGACGGUAAUGGGUAAAGAAGCACCGGCUAACUACGUGCCAGCAGCCGCGGUGAUACGUAGGGUGCGAGCGUUGUCCGGAUUUAUUGGGCGUAAAGGGCUCGUAGGUGGUUGAUCGCGUCGGAAGUGUAAUCUUGGGGCUUAACCCUGAGCGUGCUUUCGAUACGGGUUGACUUGAGGAAGGUAGGGGAGAAUGGAAUUCCUGGUGGAGCGGUGGAAUGCGCAGAUAUCAGGAGGAACACCAGUGGCGAAGGCGGUUCUCUGGGCUUUUCCUGACGCUGAGGAGCGAAAGCGUGGGGAGCGAACAGGCUUAGAUACCCUGGUAGUCCACGCUGUAAACGGUGGGUACUAGGUGUGGGGUCCAUUCCACGGGUUCCGUGCCGUAGCUAACGCUUUAAGUACCCCGCCUGGGGAGUACGGCCGCAAGGCUAAAACUCAAAGGAAUUGACGGGGCCCCGCACAAGCGGCGGAGCAUGCGGAUUAAUUCGAUGCAACGCGUAGAACCUUACCUGGGUUUGACAUGGAUCGGGAGUGCUCAGAGAUGGGUGUGCCUCUUUUGGGGUCGGUUCACAGGUGGUGCAUGGCUGUCGUCAGCUCGUGUCGUGAGAUGUUGGGUUAAGUCCCGCAACGAGCGCAACCCUUGUUCACUGUUGCCAGCACGUUAUGGUGGGGACUCAGUGGAGACCGCCGGGGUCAACUCGGAGGAAGGUGGGGAUGACGUCAAGUCAUCAUGCCCCUUAUGUCCAGGGCUUCACGCAUGCUACAAUGGCUGGUACAGAGAGUGGCGAGCCUGUGAGGGUGAGCGAAUCUCGGAAAGUCGGUCUCAGUUCGGAUUGGGGUCUGCAACUCGACCUCAUGAAGUCGGAGUCGCUAGUAAUCGCAGAUCAGCAACGCUGCGGUGAAUACGUUCCCGGGGCU
rnacentral:rRNA from 1 species